rnacentral:tRNA from 1 species
GGUAAAAUGGCUGAGUUCAAGCAUUGAACUGUAAAUUCAAAGACUGAGAAUAGUAUUCUCUUUUUACCA